UGCAGGUACAGCAGGCGGUGAAAAAGGCGAAUGGUAUGCUGGCAUUUAUAGCGAGAGGAUUCGAGUACAGGAGCAGGGAGGUACUACUGCAGUUGUACAAGGCCUUGGUGAGACCACACCUGGAGUAUUGUGUGCAGUUUUGGUCCCCUAAUCUGAGGAAAGACAUCUUUGCCAUAGAGGGAGUACAAAGAAGGUUCACGAGAUUGAUUCCUGGGAUGGCAGGACUUUCAUAUGAAGAAAGACUGGAUGAAUUGGGCUUGUACUCGUUGGAAUUUAGAAGAUUGAGGGGGGAUCUGAUUGAAACGUAUAAGAUCCUAAAGGGAUUGGACAGGCUAGAUGCAGGAAGAUUGUUCCCGAUGUUGGGGAAGUCCAGAACGAGGGGCGACAGUUUGAGGAUAGAGGGGAAGCCUUUUAGGACCGAGAUUAGGAAAAACUUCUUCACACAGAGAUUGGUGAAUCUGUGGAAUUCUCUGCCACAGGAAACUGCUGAGGCCAGUUCAUUGGCUAUAUUUAAGAGGGAGUUAGAUAUGGCCCUUGUGGCUACGGGGGUCAAGGGGUAUGGAGGGAAGGCUGGGGCGGGGUCCUGAGUUGGAUGAUCAGCCAUGAUCAUAAUAAAUGGCGGUGCAGGCUCGAAGGGCCGAAUGGCCUACUCCUGCACCUAUCUUCUAUGUUUCUAUUGUCAAUGGUUUAGGAACAAUUUCUUCAGCUCUGAUAUCAAAUCUUUGAAUGUUUCUUAAACCCAUGACCUGAAUAUCACUUUUCCUCUUUUGGACUAUUUAUUUAUUUUAGUUUUUAUUUUAACUGAUAGUAAUUUGUGUCUUGCAAUGUACUACAGAAAAGCAACAAAUUUCAUGAUAACACACACAAAUGCUGGAGGAACUCAGCAGGCCUGGCAGCAUUUAUGGAAAAAAAGUACUGUCGAAGUUUUGGGCUGAAAUCCUUUGGAAAGACUGGGAAAAAAAAGGCUGAGGAGUAGAUUUGAAAGGUGGGGGAGCGGAGAGAGAAACAUCAGGUGAUAGGUGAAACUUGGAGAGGGAGCGAUGAAGCAAAGAGCUAGGAUAUUGAUUGGUGAAACAGAUAGAAGGCCAUGGAAGAAAGAUAAAAGCUGGGGGGGGGGUGGUUGGAAGGAGCACCAGAGGGAGGCGAUGAGCAGGCAAAGAAAUAACAUGUGAAAGGGACAAGGGAUGGGAAAUAGUGAGGCGGCAUUACUGGAAGUUUGAGAAAUCAAUGUUUAUGCCAUCAGGUUGGAGGCUGCCUAAAUGGAAUAUAAGGUGUUGUUCCUCCAACCUAAACUGGCCUUUUCAUGACAGCGGAGGAGGCCAUGGAUGGUCACGUCAGAAUGGGAAAGGGAAGUGGAAUUAAAAUGGGUGGCCACUGGGAGAUUCCACUUUUUCUGGUGCAUGGAGCAUAGAUGCUCAGCAAAGCGGUCUCUCAAUCUAUGUCGGAUCUCACCGAUAUACAGGAGGCCACACUGAGAGCACCGAACACAGUAUAUGACCUCAACAGACUCACAGGUGAAGUGUUGCCUCACCUGGAAGGACUAGUUGGUGGCCUGAAUGGUAAUGAGGGAGGAGUUUUAGUGACAGGUGUAGCACUUGUUCCACUUUAAGUGCCUGGAAGGAGAUCAGUAGGGAGGUACAAAUGGACAAGGGAAUCGCGUAGGGAGUGAUCCAUGCGGAAAGCAGAAAGUCGGGGGCAGGGGGUAGGGAAAGAUGUGUUUGGUGGUGGGAUCCAGUUGGAGGUGGCAGAAGGUUCGGAGGAUUACAUGCUUGAUGGGGAGGCUGGUUGGGUGGUAGCUGAGGACAAAAGGAACCCUAUCCCUGGUAGGGUGGCGGGAGGUUGGGGUAAGAGCAGAACUUCCCUUCCCUUCCUUUCAAAUCUACUCCUCAGCUUUUUAUCAUCAGUCCUCCUGAACUGUUUCAGCCGGAAAUGUUGACUGUGCUUGUUUCCACAGAUGCUGCCUGGCCAGCUGAGUUCUUCCAGCAUUUUGUGUGUGUUGCUCAGAUUUCUAGCACCUGUAGAUUUUCUCUUGUUUGAAAUUUCAUGACAUGUCACUCUGAUUCUAACUUAACCUGUAUUCAUGGCCUCUUGCAUUUUGGAUUGGUCUCCCAUGUGGGUUCUUGUCAAAUGACUUACUGAAGUCAUUGUACAUAUCAACCACAUACCCUCAUUGAGACAAUCAGUUGCACCUCAAGCUAUUCAAUCAUAUUUUUCAGAUAAGAUUUUCCACUUAUAAAAUCACAGUGAUUACCUUUGAUCAAUCCUUAUUUCCUUACAAUGACUCAUAUCUAGGGACAAAGUUAAACAGGCCUCUGGGCUUGGGCUGCAUUACAAACUGCACUUGGCAGCUCAUACACCACACACUCUCCAGCCUGCAGAUUCAGAUUUUUGUCUAUAAAUGCUAACAUUUCAAACUUUGACAAACUUCUAUAGAUGUGUAAUAUGGAGUAUAUAGACUGGCUACAUCACAGCCUGGAAUAGAAACACCAAUGCCCACGAAUGGAAAAUCCUAUAAAAUGUGGAAAAUACAGGCCAGUACAUCAAGGAUAAAACCCUCCCAAAACAUUGAGCACAUCUACACGAAACACUGUCGUAGGAAAGCAGCAUCCAUCAUCAGGAACCCCCAGCACCCAGUACAUGCUCUCUUCUCACUGCUGCCAUCAGGAGUACAGGAGGUACAGGAGCCUCAGGAAUCACACCACCAGGUUCAAGAAUAGUUAUUACCCCUCAACCAUCAGGCUCUGGAACCAAAGAGUAUAACUGUAAUCAACUUCACUUGAAAUGUUCCCACAACCCAUGGACUCAAUUUCUAGGACUCUUCACCUCAUGUUCUCUAUACUUAUUAUUUAUUUAUUUAUUUUUGUAUUUGCAGAGUUUAUUGUCUGAAUGCCCAAGUUAGUACGCUCUUUCAUUGGUUCUGUUGUGGUUAUUAUUCUAUGGAUUUAUUGUGUAUGCCUGCAAGAAGAUGAAUCUCAGGGUUGUAUAUGGUGACAUAUGUACUUUGAUAAUAAAUUUACUUUGAACUUCAGCAAAUGCAGGGCAACUGACAGUUUUGUUGAUAAAUCUGAAGCAUUUAAUUGCCUUAGCUUUUUAUAGACCCUCCAAUACAUCUUGUUUAUCCUUAAGAUAGUUUUUUUUCUGCAGUGUCUGUAUUUUCCACUCGUGUAUAAUAGGUAUUUCAGCAAACAUAUUGAACACAAAACAACUUGUUUCACCACAAUGAAAUGUGAUAUCCAGCUCAUCUCUGAAGACAGGUGUCAAGGCCCACUGCAUGCUACCUUGUUUAUGUAAAAGACUUUGCUAUUUGAACCAGGGAACAAUGAAGUCAAGCAGAGUUUAUAAAGCAGCCAGGCUAGUGCUUCCUUGAGACUGCUUUCACUGGAGGUGGAGUGUUGAAACUAUUUGAACUGUUUGCCAUAUCAUGCCAAGGACACAAUUCAGCACUUUUCAAUGAAAUUUAAGGGCAACAGACCAAACCGUGUAUCGCAAAUUGCAAUGCUGAAAGCUCCUUACUUUUCUUCAGCUUUCCCCUUCCUCAACAAUCUGCAGACCUUUUAACCCUCUCCUUGGCAUUUUCUAACCAAUACUAAGGAAAAUUGAUUUUUAAUAUUUAUGACUGAAAAGACAUCAAUGAUGAAUGAGUUGAACUUUUUACUUUACAUCACAGAUAACAUGGGUUUAAAUGGGGUGAAUAGGAAACCUUUCCCCAUAUUAGCAGUGCCUAAAACUGGAGGGUAUUGGCUAAGGAUCUCUAAAUAAAAUAAGGAUAAGGAAUCAGGGAUAAAAGUUUUGGGGAGGAAAUGCGAAGGAACUUUUCUACCCAUGGUUGGAAUUUGCCAAGCAGGUGGCUGAGGCAGUUACUCUCACAGCAUUUAAGGUAGAUCUAGGUCAUCUGAAGUAUGAGCGAGAAAGCCAUGGACUAAGUGGUGGUAAAUGUGAUUAAUAUAGGUAUAUAUCACCUCUGGUGAAGGGACUUGUCAUGUCCUCCUGGGCAACUCGCUCACCUUUGGCGAACACCUGAUACUCAGCUCUUAACUGUGGCUCCAUUUAGCUGUUGGCAUAUGUCAGCAGCCAGUGCACUGCUUCAGCAGGAGGGCCUAACCAGGUGAGGUCAGCUGGCGGGCUUCAUACCCCGGUGGGAUAGGGACAUGCCUAUCCUAGUAUAUGAAGGCAUCUCUGGUGGACUGGUAGAUGAGAUCAACAGCGAGAUCCAAUGGCCAGAAAGCAGUUUUGCAACACUUUAAGGGCAAGAUAAGGCACAGCAAAUGUCAUAGUCAUCUACUGCAACCAAGGAAGAACCCAGCUGUGAUGACUGCUCAUGUUACUGGAACUGGCCUUCCGUGGUUGAGAGGGUGGAACUGCCACAGCGCACUGGCUUUUCCACUUUUAAAACUGUCCCAUACAAGUCCUCUGUCAUUGUCGGAUACUUCAGACAACCAACCAUAGGUAGGUACUUGAUAGACACCAUUAGCCUGAUGACCUGAAGGACUUGUUUUGUGCCUUGUUGAGUUUCUGUGACUCUGUAACAUGCACAGAUUACCUCUGAAUACUAUCACAAAGCAGUCCACUUGAUUACCACAUCACCUAUGAUCUGAAACUUCCACGCCCUUCCUCCCCCAUGCACAAUGAUAGCAAUGUGUACAAGCUGCAAAAUGCAUCACAAUUACUCACCCAUACUAGUGCAUCAAUGCCAGCCAAAUAUACAUUCUGUCCUACCACAAAGAACUAGGUGAACAUAUGGUCAACCACCAUCCUGACUUGGAAAUAUAUCACUGGUCCUUCACUGUCAUAGAAUAUAAAUCCUGGAACUACCUCCCAAAUGCAGUGUGGAAGAGCCUUCUCCAGAAGUACUGUGCCUAUUCAAGAAAGUGUCCCAUUAACACCUUCUCAAAGAAAAUUGGCAAUGGACAAUAAAUCCCAGUCUUGUCAAUGGUGCUCAUAUCACAAACACAAAUAAAAGUUAGUCAUAUUUAUAGUGCAAUAUUUUAGCGGUGAAUAAUAGAAAAUGCAUCAAAAUUUGGACUUCAAAAAAGCUUGCACUACUGCUAAUUACUAUUUUUGUAAUUUACUUGUGUAGCAUUUAAACUUUCCUGUGCAUUCCCUAUCCCUAUACAUAAUGGAACUGCUAUCCCUAUACAUAAUGAGGGAAGCUAGUUUCCAUGCCAGUAGGCAUUACCAGAUCAGUUGGGUUUUGAAAUCACACUGCUGGUACCAAUUUUAAAGUAUCCUGUAAAUUUUCAAACACCUACAGUAUGCUGGAGAGCUGAUAUCUUGAGAAUUACUAGACCAGAACUUUAAUUGUUAAACCCUUCAGUCCUCAAUACAUAUUUACCUGGAGAAUUCCAAUGAAAAUAUGCAACAAAAUGCUCCAAAGUUACCAUAGUAUUUAUUUUUUGCAUGGGAUAAUUUAUCUUUACCGAUAUACUGUUCAAAAAUAACAAUUUUCCAUCUACUUUAAUAUCUUGAAAAGAAUUUUUCAAAUUUCCCAGAAGAUGUGACUCCAGGACAUUUCAUGAAAACCCAUUCCUUCGCUGACUUUCAGAAGUUGAGCCACAGAUCCUCCAGUUUGCUUUUGUACUCAAUGGAUGGCUGAGCAAAUACCCUUCCUGAUACUUGGAAAAACAACUGUCAGGUGUCACAGCUAGAGGCCUUCAAGAGGAGGAUGGAGAGGGAUGAUCAUGAGGAUUGGAUGAGAUAGAGGUACCAGCGUCAGGGACAUCUCGGAUCACUCCACAGCAUUUUGGAGGGGGAGGGAGAGCAGCCAGAUGUCUUGGUACAUAUUGAUACCAAUGAUAUAGGAGGGAAAAGCAAAGAAUCCUGAAGACAAAAUUGCAGCCAGCAGGUCUUGAGUGACCUGGUGCUUUGCUGUCUCUGAGGGAGUUUGAUGAGGUUGGGAGUGGAGCAUGUGGCCUGGUGGCUUGGAAGAGUGGACAUGGGGCGCAAGCCCGUGAUCAACUCCACUGUUUCUCUCCAACCGAGAUGUCGAGCAACGUUGAAGUUGGUGAAGACAAGAGCAGAGUGUAGGUGGGUAUUCAGUGUCAUCUGCCUGUGUUAGACCAAUUGUCCUCUCCUCCUUGCUAGCUGCUGUCAGAGGAAAUUGUAGGAGACUUGUGUUCCACACUGCAAGGAUUGACAUGUGAGGCUUGGAGCUGUGGACUUAUUCUGGGAGACUUUAAGAUUCAUGUUGCAUUUACUCCUGGAUCCUGCUUUCUCUUUUGUUUUCUGUUUUUUAAGCGGUUUGAUUGGGGCAAUCGGUGCAGACUGGGGCAUCUCGGUGAAGACUGUCAAUGCAUCCUACAGACGGCUAGCCAUGUGGAGAUGACCUAAACUAAACUAAAUACUCCUGGGCUCCUAGUUUUAUGUGUGAUAUUAUUUGUGUUGUUUGCUUGCUUCCUGCUGUUUGUGCAAUUUGUUCUUUUUUUUGUACAUUUAGCAUUUGAGGUUUUCCUUUGUACAGGUUCCAGUCACUUUGUUUUGUGGCUGGCUGCAGGAAGAAAAUCUCAGAGGUGUAUUCUGCGUACAUACUUUGAUAAUCAAUGUACUUUGAAUCUUUGAAUCUCUUGAAAGAAGAGCUGGAGACACUACAAGAUGGCAGUAAACUCAAGGGUUAAGUAAAGAUUGUGUGCAAACUUUUUACCAAAAUGCUUCCAAACAUUUUCAAUUUUAAAAGAUAUUCUUUCUAUCUUGGAACAUUCAUGCAUCUGGAUUUAGCUACAGAUGUCUCCAGAAUAUGAUCAGAAUGCAAUAAUAUUCUAGGACAUAGCACAUGGAAUUAAAGUGGCACAGAGGGCAUCUCUCCUCACCAUCAGCAGUAUGUACAAGAGAUGCUGCCUCAAAAAGGCAACAUGCAUUAUCAAAGCUCCCCACUACCCAAGCCAUGCCAUCUUCUCGCAGUUGUCAUUAGGCAGAGGGUAUAUAUACCUGAAGUCCCACAUCACCUGAUUCAAGACAGCGACUUCCCUUCAACUAUUCAGCUCUUGAAGAAACUGGUACAACCCUUAAUUACUAUAAUUCAGUAACACUCUGACAACUUUGAUCAUUUUGCACUAAAAAAAGACCUUUUUUUUCUAAUUGCAUUCUCUCUUGUAAAUAUUGCUUAAUUUAUGUUUUUCAUAUGAUUGUUGCUUAUAAGUUACCAUGUGCCUUUGACGCCAGUGAAAGUAAGUUUUUCAUUGCUCCUGUGUAUGCAUGUUGUAAUGGUUACUUGAAAGCAAACCAAACCACUCAGAGACUAAGCACAGGGGUUGACAUUGUAUGAUGUGCUAUCCACAAUAACGAAGUUCCAAAGUCGAAGAAAGUAGGAUCGCUCCUUUAUUAAGAAGACAGCAAAGAGGAACAAACGUGUAGUGAUAAAAAAAUGAAUGUAAUGGAAAUUAACAAUAUAACAAAAUAAGUGGUCUAAUAACAAUGUAAUACUGAUCUCGCUGUAGCAUUAGCAUAAGCAAUCAACAAAAAAUAUCAUUCUGGCUGCCUCACUGGCUCUAGCUAGACUAAACGAAACCUAGACGAAGUGUGUAUAUGUAACUACACUCACUCACUUUGACCUCAGACCCAAUUACCUAUAAUAAAUGUGCAGCACAAUACAUAAAGACAGACAGAAAAAUAGAUAUGUGGCUCCAAUUCAUGCAUCGUGUACAGUACUGUGCAAAUGUCUUAGACACAUAUAAGUAUGCAGCUAAUAUGCCUAAGACUUUUGCACAGUACUGUAAGCUGUUUUUAUAGCAAUUCCUACAUGGGUUAAUUUUGAUUUGAUUUGUAGUACAUGGUGGAAAGACAUCCAUCUCCAUUCUCUCUUUACUUGUCCUUGAAACAGCAGCAUUUGUGAGUCUUAAGUUUUUGUUAACUGACUUUGUAAAUCAAAAGUGUUGAUGGAAUUGAUGAUGUUUUCAUUCUGUGGUUUAUUACCUAACAUUAUUUUCCUGUCUCCAUAGAGAUUUGCUUUAUUUAUUACGUGAGAAAGAGGUAAAGUGUAUGUCUGUACUCACAAAAGUUCUACAUCCUUUCUCCCUGUACUAAAGGAAGAGCUUGGAAGAGAAUGCAUAUUUUUCUGGUAUGAUCUGAUGCCAUUGUAAAUCACAGAUGUGUGGAAGCACAGGAGAAAUAGGCUCAGAAGCUACUGGACGCAUUCCCAGGACAGCACCUAAAUAUGGUGCAACAAUAAUUUUCGUGCUAAUCUUUGGAGAAAUUUGUACGUAAAUGAAUAACACAUUUUUUGCACUAAUCUAAUUAUCGUCAAUCUUUUGCAAAAAAAAAUCCCCUGAGGCUGUUCUCAUUAACGAAAAACUUUGGAUAAAACAUACUGACAGAAAAUUCAAUUGGGAGAAGUGUGCAGAUGCAGUAGCUCGUCAUCGCGCAAGGCGGCUGAGAAGAUUCUGGGAUAAAAGGGAGACACCACCUAGCGGAGCAGUCGUCAAAAUAGUGUGAGUCAGAGUAGUAGGGCAUUGGCUCAUCAGGCUUCGGCGAGGAUGGGCCUAGGUGAGGUAAGGAGGUAAGUUACUUUCAUAUCUCUUUUUUCCUCUAACUUAAUAACAGUGGGUAUAUCUGCAAGGCCAGUUUUCUGCUCUGGGUGUCAGAUGUGGGAUAUCUAGGAGACUUCCAGCCUACCUGAUGGCCACAUCUGUGCCAGGUGCAUGGAUCUGCAGCUCCUUAGAGUCCAAAUUAGGGAACUGGAGCUGCAGCUUAAUCACCUUUGGCAUGUUAGGGAAAGUGAGGAGGUGAUCGAUGGGAGCUACAGGCAGGUAGUCACAAUGUGACCACAGGAGACAGAUAAGUAGGUGACUAUUAGGAGAGGGAAGGAAGAGCAGCAGCUAGUGGGGGGCACCUCUGUGGCUGUCCUCCAUAACAGUAAGUACUAAUGGGCAGGCACGACCUACCUGGAGGAAGCAACAGUAGCCAUGCCUCUGGCACUGAGUAUGGCCCGGUGGCUCAGAAGACUAGGGAAGAGAAGAGGAUGGCAACUACUGGGACUCUAUAAUUAGGGGGACAGAUAGGUGAUUCUGUGGGUGUGAAAAAGAAACGUGGAUGGUAGAUUGCCUUCCAUGUGCCAGGGUUCGUGAUGUUUCUGAACGCGUCCACAAUAUUCUGAAAUGGGAGGGUGAGUAGCCAGAGGUUGUGGUACAUAUUGGUACCAACGACAUAGGUAGAAAAAGGGAGGAGUUCCUGAAAGCAGAAUACAGGAAGUUAGGAAGGAAGCUGAGAAGUAUGACCUCAAAGGUAGUAAUCUCAGGAUUGCUGCCUAUGCCAUGUGUCAGUGAGUAUGGGAAUAGAAUGAAGUGGUGGAUAAAUAUGUGGCUGAAGGAUUGGAAUUGGUUAGAGAUUUGGAUUUCUGGAUCUUCUGGGGCAAGUGUGGCCUGUACAAAAAGAAUGUGUUGCACUACAAUCCGAGAGGGACCAAUAUCCUGGCAGGAAGGUUUGAUAAUGCUAUUGGGGAAGGCUUAAACUAGAUUUGCAGCGGGGUGGGAACCGAAGUGAAGAGGCAGAGGAUGGGACAGUUGGGGCAAAAGUAGAUGGUUGGCACCUGAUGGUUUGAGAUGUAUCUAUUUUAAUGCAAGGAGUAUCAUAAACAGGUAGAAUGAACUUAGAGCAUGGAUCAAUACAUGGAACUAUAGUGUUAAAGCCAUUACAGAGAAUUGAGUGUCUCAGGGGCAGGAAUGUCUGCUGAGUGUGCCAGGCAUUAGAUAUUUCAAAAAAGACAGAGAGGGAGUCAAAAGAGGUGGGGGCAUGGCAUUGCCAAUCAGGGAUAGUGUCCUGGCUGAAGAAAAGGAGGAAAUCAUAGAGGGGUUAUCUACUGAGUCAUUUUAUAUAUUUGCAUGUAUCUUAAAUUUUUAAAUGUCCUUGAUGCCCUUGUUUUCUUUAGAUACACUGUGCCUGAUAGUUUAAGGGUUUCAAACCACUUUUUCAUAAGCUGAAAGAGACAAAGAAGGAAUGUACUAUGUGUAUCCUUGGGCCUGCUUCAUGCAAGUGCAUAAUUGCUAUGUUCAAGUGUCUAAGACCCCUGGGAAUUUGCAAUAUAACUUGCAGACGGAAUGAUUGCCAUUCCUUUUAGAGUGCUAUUUUAGGAUGUUUUGAGCCAUAUUUCAGCUCAAGAGAUUUGAAACUCCAGGAAUACAUGCAAAUGUUAAAUUAUCCUUGUAAAAGAUGGGGGAUUUGCAAUUAUGUGCUUCAAUGUGGUAAUCUUAACCAGAUCUUUCUGCAUAUUUUCAAUCUGCUUCAUAAGGUAUUGUCACAAUGGGGGUGCUGAUGGCAGACCCAAAUGCAAGACACAGACACUGAAGUACAAGGAACAGGACUUGACUAGAGUAGGGACAUGACAGGGUUCAGACCAGGAGCAGGGACAAGAAUGCAGACUCAGGCUAGGGAAAGCAGGACCAGAACUAGAAACCAUGGACUAGGAGGCAAGGCUUCGACUCCGAGCCCAAGACUGGACAAGGACCCAGAACUAGGGUCUUGCCUUGGGCUCGGGCCCCAGAACCAGGCAAGGACAUGACAUGACUGCAGGACUGGAGGCUGGGGUCUGCAGGCUAGUGUUCUUGGAGCUUGGCUUGGGAUCCUCGAGGCUUGGGUUCUUGGAGCUUCUGCUGGGCAGAACGCGGAACUCCUAGGCAAGACGCGGAACUUCACCCCACAGAGGCAAAGACAGGGAGGGACGGACCCAACCACAGGGUAACGGCAAAUGGCCUGCUUACCUGAUGAAGGCAAGGAACAGAAAGGGGCAGAACCAACCACAGGGUAAUGGCAAUCGGCCUGGCUUACCCAACAGAGGCAAGGGACAGGAAAGGAGCUCAAUCCAGGGUGGCUCUGAGACUCAGGGCAGCCAGCAACCUUGGCUGGCUACAGAAAUGGCCAAAUCCAUACCACAAUGACUACUCCGACGAGUGGCAACAAGGAUCCAUGAAGCGGUGGUCCUCCAACCAGGCCUAGAGAUCACAAAUGGUUUCACUAGCCUUCUAUCAGCAGGUUGCUCCAAGGGGGACUGACAAUACAAAUCAGCAGCCAACACUCAACCCUAAGGAUACUUAUAUUCCAAGCCCCAAGAUGGGAAUCAAGUGCCUAUGCUUAACUCAAUCAAAACAAGGGACAACUGGAAGACCCGCAGUCCUGAGUCCACGGACCGAACCAUGAAUUGGAAUGCGGACUUCACGGACUGGACCAUGACAGGUACACUCUCCCAACUCAAAAGGCCAGCAGCACUUUUGCCUCUAUUAUACAAUAACUCUGCAAGCCCUAAGAUUAGGUCAUCUCCAGUCUGUUAUGUAUAAACAAGUGGACUGCCAGAAGUAGUGUAAUUCUGCACCAUGUGUAAGCCUUGCCUCAUUCACUUUAUCCACUGGGGUCAAUUCAGAACUGUAUCUGAAGCUUUUUGGUUUCAGAACCACUCUAGCUUCCCAUUACAUUGCACUAAUGGGGAAGGUCUGCAUUUUUGGUUAAAUAACUUCUCACGAGGAAAUAACAGGUUAUAUGGCGUUGUCACUAAGAAAAGCAGAAAUAUUAUUUCCAAAGUAAAAGACUUUAUUUAUCUUUUAAUUAACAUCAAAUAUCUAUCUGGUUGUUAGAUCUACCUGUGUUAUGUCUCCCCUCUUGCUGUGAAAUGGGAACACCUCUUUUCCCCUAUUAGGGAAUUACCAGGUGAACGAGUAGUCUUUGGGGUACUGCAAGUCUGUGUCUUUAUUGAU